UAUAGAUGGAGAGCAGGGGAAAUUGCAAACAAAAAAUACUUUCUGAGUGUUUAGUCUCACCUUAAUCAUACACACAUUGACUCCAACAUAGGAGUAUCCUAAUUAAUCCCAGUUGAGAGACCAGAAGAAUGUAGAACGAGAAUGAGCUUGUAUGUAUUAAAAGUUAAAUAUAAAAAUGUAGGUUUAAAGAGGCAGAAGACAGGACACACAAUCAGCAUAGUCUAUAGUUGGGCAUAAACAAUGAGUAAUGGCCAGAGGAAAAACAGUCUGCUAAAGCCAGGAGUUGGGUAAGUAUUGCAAAAAGUCCUUCAGCGUAAUGUCAAACUACACAGUGCUAACUGACAACUCUUCCUCUGGAUAGGUGGGCCAGCAGGGACAUGAUCUACACACCAAAACAACUCCAUUAUGCCAAAGUUGUUGUGCUUAUAUUGCUCCUUUUAAUCAAAACAAAUAUUAACAAGACAUAUGUGUCAGUAUACAUAAACUCAGGAGAACACCUUAUCACACAUGCCAUAAGAGACAGGCUGAUCAUGGUGUCGCCAGUCAGGAGGAGUGAAUCUCCACAGAAUACCAGUAGAAAAC